UGGUAGAGGGUAGUGGAAUUCCCGGUGUAGCAGUGAAAUGCGUAGAGAUCGGGAGGAACAUCCAUGGCGAAGGCAGCUACCUGGACCAACACUGACACUGAGGCACGAAAGCGUGGGGAGCAAACAGGAUUAGAUACCCUGGUAGUCCACGCCCUAAACGAUGCGAACUGGAUGUUGGGUGCAAUUUGGCACGCAGUAUCGAAGCUAACGCGUUAAGUUCGCCGCCUGGGGAGUACGGUCGCAAGACUGAAACUCAAAGGAAUUGACGGGGGCCCGCACAAGCGGUGGAGUAUGUGGUUUAAUUCGAUGCAACGCGAAGAACCUUACCUGGUCUUGACAUGUCGAGAACUUUCCAGAGAUGGAUUGGUGCCUUCGGGAACUCGAACACAGGUGCUGCAUGGCUGUCGUCAGCUCGGUUCCUG
rnacentral:rRNA from 2 species